rnacentral:misc_RNA from 1 species
ACAGGCCUCCGAUGAGGCGCACACGUUCUGUGUCUCCUCCACCCGUACACACAUUCGUAGCCGCUUUCUCCCUUCCUCCUUCACCAGUGUGCAGAUUGGCUUGUACCUGGCUGCCUGCUCACCGCGCUGCUAUUUUUUUUUUUCUAUCCUCCAUCUGCGACACACACAUGCCCGCAUAAGUACAUGCACUCAAUGCUUGUCUGUGCGUAACUUGCGCUUGUGCAGCUAUAUUGCUGUGAGCAAACCACCUUCUUCGCUGCUUCUCGCAACAGAGUAUUUCUCUCGCUUCGCGCACCGUUUGCCCUCCUUGUGUUAAUCACAUAUCUCUCGCCACUUUUCGUCCGUGGUGCUCGACUUGCCCCGUUCACUUCCCCCAUCUCCCCGCCUCGCCUCACCUCGCCAGGUUUCUACGGCGCUCGACUCGGUGCGCGCGCUAUCUUGGGGGUUGGGGGUGUUCGUUUCUUCCUCUGCCGGUGCCAGUGCCUCUCUAACGUACUGCGCGCUGUGUUGUGCUGCGUCGUCUAUCUGUAACCUGAACCUACUGCUCGCCAAGCAUAGAAAAGCCACUCCUGCACACACUCUUACGUCCUUCGUCGCUCGUUUCUGUUUGCUUUUUCGCUAGGUAUAUCUACAUCGGAUCAUCGAAUUCUAGCGAGACUGCGCCGUUUUAUUCUCUUUUCUCUUGGUUCACCCUGUCGCUUUCGCUCCGGUUCUCCAGUGGCGUGUCCGUGCUUGCGUCCCCCUUUGCCACCACCGCCACCGCCACCAUCUCUUCCGGACCCUGUGCAUCCCUCUUAUUCUCGCUGAACGAGGGGACGCUUGCGCUUGGCGUGUGUGUGUGCGUCAGGGGGAAACUUUUCUUGCUCUUUGUUUCUCUGCUCUCCCCUCAUUUUCACGCCAUGAUCGUGGACGCGAUGACCUGAUUACCCACACAUCUAUUUUUUGCGUUGCACAGGCCACCCCUCGUCGGGUGCCGACGGAUGCCUCCUCCACCCCCCACAACUUUGUGUUCCGCCUUCAGAGCGGCACGUUAUGAGUUCUCUGUGCACAGACACGUGUUUCUUCGUGGGCUUCUUCCGCUUGACACACCCAGUCCUUUCAGAGGCGUGUGAAUUCGUUAGAAGGUGGAGUGCCCCUGCCGCCACACACUCAUGGCAGCAUCUCCCACCUGUCGAGGCACAUGCGGGCAAGUCAUCCAGGCACGCUCCCCCCGGCGACAGGGACGGGAGUGGAAGAUGGAAGAUGAAGACGGCGAGCCCAUUCCCUCAGACAACAGCGCCGUCUCGACGCAGGCCCCAGGGCCCGAAAAUGCGAGCACUGUGCGCACGCGCUGCGAAGCACAGCUGGUAUGGUGCAUCACACGCAAACAAGGCAUGCAGAGGUGGGGGGGAGGGAAGAGCGAGAAGCGUAAAGGUCUCGAAGGGAUGCAUACGAAUCAAUCCCGCACAGCGCGUGCGUGCGAAGUAUGCGGCGUCGCUUACAUCCCGACCGGAUGUGCUGAUGAGGCACAGAUGCCGGAAGCAUGACGAGAGCAUCCCGAAUCUAAUUAUCGAGUCCUCCAGACCUCAGUGUGGGGAGUCACCACACCGUGGUAUGGGAUGCCGCGGCUUGGGGCGACUGAGGGUGGAACAUGGCACGCAGGCAGCGGGGGAGGGUGCAGGGUCUCGGAGGGCCCUGACCUGAGAGGCUGGCCGACCUCCUCCUUGAUCUCAUCCGGCAUGCGCCUAGGCCACACCCCCUGCUGUCCCGCACGACUGACGCCGCUGUGUCCGCCCUCGAGCAGGGCCCUGGGCCGCGGCGUGCUUUGGGUCGAGGCGUGCAGUGCAGCCGGGCCCGCGUGGCGCUGGUCUCUCAGCACGCACCCGAAGGAGGGGCAAGGGCGGACAAGGAGAGCCGGUUGGUCGCAUGGCCCGAUUCGACGGCAGGUGGCUUGUGCCAGACACCCAGGAUUGAGCCGCAGUGCAAGAGCGGUAGGAGCAGUGUGGGUGUGCAUGCGCCUGAGUGUGGAGUUGCUCACGGUGGAGGGACAUGUCGGAAAAAGGGAACGAUAGCUCUUCUCAUCUGCACUUCUUCUGUCUUUAACAUACCGACCUUGAUCUUGCCAACCAACACUCCCACAG